rnacentral:rRNA from 1 species
UUGGAGGGCAAGUCUGGUGCCAGCAGCCGCGGUAAUUCCAGCUCCAAUAGCGUAUAUUAAAGUUGUCGCAGUUAAAAAGCUCGUAGUUGAAUUUCGGGGUUAGUAGGUUGGUCAUGCCUCUGGUAUGUACUGGUCUUACUGAUUCCUCCUUCCUGAUGAACCUUAAUGCCAUUAAUUUGGUGUUUUGGGGAAUUUGGACUGUUACUUUGAAAAAAUUAGAGUGUUUAAAGCAAGCUAACGCUUGAAUACAUUAGCAUGGAAUAAUGAAAUAGGACGUUCGAUCCUAUUUUGUUGGUUUCUAGGAUUGACGUAAUGAUUAAUAGGGAUAGUUGGGGGCAUUAGUAUUCAAUUGUCAGAGGUGAAAUUCUUGGAUUUAUUGAAGACCAACUACUGCGAAAGCAUUUGCCAAGGAUGUUUUCAUUAAUCAAGAACGAAAGUUAGGGGAUCGAAGACGAUCAGAUACCGUCGUAGUCUUAACCAUAAACUAUGCCGACUAGGGAUCGGAUGAUGUUAAUUUUUUAAUGACUCAUUCGGCGCCUUACGGGAAACCAAAGUGUUUGGGUUC